GCCGGAGCCGGAGCCAGAGACGGGGAAGCGGCCAAGGACUGAAGUCAAAGUUUAAAGUUCCUGCUAAAGUCCCUUAGCAAGUGACUCCAUUCCUCUGUCUGGAAAAAGUUUUGAGAGUGUAUUUGUUCCUUCCUUGGAGUGCAGAAGAAUAUUAGAAGAGGCAAACUGCAGCUAAUCAGAUGGGAUGAUAGUGAGUCCGAAGUUGAUGACUUGUUGCUGGACCAGUAUCUGCACAGGCGAAAGAAGCAUUUAAUGUUAACCUUCACCAUUCUUUGGACAAUUACCUUAAAUCUAUCAGUCAUUGAGCCAGUUUUUUUUUGUUUUGGUGAACUAUUCACAGACUAAGAAUGGAAUGAAAGAUUUCUGAGGAAAUGGAAACUGUUCAAAUUCAUCAUUUUCAAAAAUACUGUAUAUCAUAGUGUAUAAAUUUCCCUGCUGUUUAAGACAACCUGUCUUUUGGAUGCCAGAAUGCAUGUUUAAGACUUUGUGUUGUGUAAGUUGACUUCUGUCACCUAAUAAAUCUGUAGAGCUUUAUUCUGA